rnacentral:rRNA from 1 species
GACGAACGCUGGCGGCGUGCUUAACACAUGCAAGUCGAACGGAAAGGCCCUGCUUUUGUGGGGUGCUCGAGUGGCGAACGGGUGAGUAACACGUGAGUAACCUGCCCUUGACUUUAGGAUAACUUCAGGAAACUGGGGCUAAUACCGGAUAGGAGCUCCUGCUGCAUGGUGGGGGUUGGAAAGUUUCGGCGGUUGGGGAUGGACUCGCGGCUUAUCAGCUUGUUGGUGGGGUAGUGGCUUACCAAGGCUUUGACGGGUAGCCGGCCUGAGAGGGUGACCGGCCACAUUGGGACUGAGAUACGGCCCAGACUCCUACGGGAGGCAGCAGUGUGGAAUAUUGCACAAUGGGCGGAAGCCUGAUGCAGCAACGCCGCGUGCGGGAUGACGGCCUUCGGGUUGUAAACCGCUUUCGCCUGUGACGAAGCGUGAGUGACGGUAAUGGGUAAAGAAGCACCGGCUAACUACGUG